rnacentral:misc_RNA from 1 species
GCCAUCCGGAAAGCUAUUAUUUCGGUGUCGGCAAGAUCGAACGCGAUCAGGUCGAGGAUUAUGCCGAACGCAAGGGGAUGACGCCGGAGGAGAUCGAGCGCUGGCUGGCGCCGAUCCUCAACUACAUUCCAUCGCGGGAUGCNNCCGAGUCUGACGAGGCUGAUGUCGCGGAAUUGCCGCUGGCCAGGCAUCCCCCGGGCUGCGGCUGUGCGAUGCAUCUGCGGAUGAACGGCAAGCCGGUGGCGGAUGCCGUCGCGCGCUGAAGUUGAUUCAACUUCGCUGCAUCUACCGCUUGAUGUCGCGCGGCCUGCGAUCGCGUUAUAUUGAUAUGUUCCCGGAACUCACGCGCGUGUGACAUCAACUGUUGCAGAACCUGGAACCCUCUCCCGCAUGAGGCGUUGGUGCGCCGCAAGCUUCAACCUCACAAAAGGAGAGAUCAUGAGCAAGGUGAGCUUUUUCGCCG